CGGACACUGUAGGCUGCACCCCAGUCAUCAAGGGCUGAAGUCUUUUGGACGUAUUUUUUUGUCGGGUCAGGACCGGACGUCUUUUUUUGAAUGGGAGUGUUGAGACGCGAGGAUGUGCUGACAACAUUUCAGUCAUACUGGUGUCUGUUAGCUUCUGAACAACAGACACCCAAUCUGGCCCGUCAUUGCGUGCCUCUGAGUGAUAUGUCCACCGUGGCUCCAGAACUUAAAACAUGCCCAGAUCCCACCACUCCCAGCAACACUGCCCACAACAGAUGAACAUCAGACAUGUUGGUCAACCGUUCAUUUUAAACAAGAUGUUGUAUGUAAUCUCUAACUCCAUGCGUAGGGUAUACUGUUCACAGCAAUGCAAUUGCUAAUUGCUUGUGUUGCAUACUUGCGUAGCGUGUAAAUAAGGCCUAAUGCUCUGUAGUGCCCUGUACUGCUUAUCCCGAUGACUCCUGAUUUAAAUGGGCUUUGUUUUCUAUCUAAUACAUUGUCUUUUCUAAUUCGUGCACAUGUUUUUUUUGCCUUAAAUGUGUAUUUUUCUUUGGGGUACUUUUAAUAAAGUAGUUCAGAACAGAAUUUCAGAGAUUGUCCCAAAAAUUCAACACAUGUAUAAUCCAAUCGGAAGAUGGUCUACAUUUAAUGGACUCCUAACUUCCUCCCUGUUUCCGCCACCCUGGAUAAUAAAGGGUCCCUUCCCUCUGUC